rnacentral:rRNA from 1 species
AGAUUGAACGCUGGCGGCAUGCCUUACACAUGCAAGUCGAACGGCAGCACGGGAGCAAUCCUGGUGGCGAGUGGCGAACGGGUGAGUAAUAUAUCGGAACGUGCCCAGUCGUGGGGGAUAACGUAGAGAAAUUUACGCUAAUACCGCAUACGAUCCAAGGAUGAAAGCGGGGGACCGUAAGGCCUCGCGCGACUGGAGCGGCUGAUAUCAGAUUAGCUAGUUGGUGAGGUAAAGGCUCACCAAGGCGACGAUCUGUAGCUGGUUUGAGAGGACGACCAGCCACACUGGGACUGAGACACGGCCCAGACUCCUACGGGAGGCAGCAGUGGGAAUUUGGACAAGUAGGGGAACCCUGAUCCAGCCAUCCCGCGUGUGCGAUGAAGGUCCUUACGGUUGUAAAGUCUACGUUUUGGACG